AAAUAUAUUUACAUCUUCUUUUGCUGGCAUUUGGAAUGAGAGAGGUAUAAUCAUUAUGUGUGAUAGUUGGUCAAGGCCCACAAGAAAAUACAUAAUAAACUUUUUAGUUUACUCCAAUAGAGGCACUGUUUUCCACAAGUCAGUUGAUGCCUCUGAUGUGCCGAGCCAAACAGCUGAAUAUUAUUUCAGAUAAUUUUCUAAUUUUAAUUUACUUUGUACCACUUGAUGACUUGCAUAUUUUUAAUUAAGUAGUAGUAAUUAUUGAAUAUAUAAUUUCAUUUCAGAUUAAUGGACGAGAUGGUUGAAGAAAUUGAGAGGAAAAAGUUGUUCAAGUAGUAACCGAUAAUGAAACUGCAAUGAAGGCGGGAGGGAAAUUAUUAAUGCAAAGGAUACCCAAUCUCUACUGAACAACAUGUGCAGCUCAUUGCAUAGAUCUUAUUCUUGAAGAUAUUGGAUACCUUUUGAACCCCCAAUUUCUGUAUGGUGCCCGACCCUUUUCUAAAGUUGCUAAAGAAGUUAUGGAGUUAAAAAAGUGAUAACCAAGCUGGUGCCCGAUAUAGAUACUCAAAUCCGGGCUAUUAAUCAAUUUUUGCUAUAUCGGGAUAGGCAGGAGACAUUUGGAACUCCAUUAGCCCAAAGGGCAGCAAAACAAACAAAUCUUGCCGAAUGGUGGAUUCAUUAUGGCAUAUGUGCUUUUGAGCUACAAAUUAGAGUUCUUAGUCAAACCACAUCAACUUCAAAUUGUGAGCGUAAUUGGAGCACCUUUAGCCUCAUCCUUACGAAAACAAGAAAUAGUUUAAAGUACAUGAGACUACGAAAACUUGUUUUCGUGCAUUACAACAUGAGGUUAAAGUUGAGACAUACAAUGAGAAAAAACCAACAAGACAUUGAAGAUAUCUUUAACUCUAUUAAUUUGGACUAUAUUUUCAAAGAAGAUGAUCCUUUGAGUCCAUGGUUACAGGAAAGAGAGAUACCAUUACUCGACGAUCUGGACAACUGAAAUUAGUUAGAUGAAGAGGUCAGUGGUACUGCACAAGGAGAUGAUCAGCCACCAAUAAAUGUGCAUGAUUCAAGUUCAAGUCUUGAACGUACACAAAGUGAUGAUAAUCUUGAUUUGAGCCCACCAAGUGAUGAUGAUGGUGGUAGUGGUCCUAGUGGUGCUAGGACUGGGGCUGGGGGUGGUGGCGGCGGCGGUGCGCAAUAUGGUUAUGGGUAUGAUACAGGGACAUCAUUUGUAGGGGAAACAUAUCCUCAAAAUCGUUGUGGACUACUUGAUAUACCCAAAAAUUAUGACUUGGGUAUUCCUCCAGGUUACCAAUCUUCACAACCCAGGAGGAGUAGCCAACAACGAGAUCGUGAUUCUACUGAAGAUUCAUAUGGUGUGGUUCAUAGUUUUGACGACUUUGGUUUAGAUGAUUCAUCAUCACAAUCAUAUGGAUCUCAUCCAGCAUAUCCAUCAUCUCGUAGUGAGUUUUCUUCUACACACUUCCCAGAGCCAGCUCCAGCCCCAACUUAUGGACAUUAUUCAGGAUAUGGUCAAAGAGGAGAUUAUGCACCUCCUAUAUCAAUUGGAUUUUCACCACCAUUACAUUUUGAGGAGCAACAACGAAAUGAUGCAAACUUGGGUUUAUUCAGCUAUGUAUUUCGACAAGGAUAGGGAGAUAAUUUCCAAUCCUAAUCUCAAGAGACAGAUGCAAAUUAUGAAGACCCUCCGCGUAAUUCUUUUUGGUGGUGACAUGUGUUAUGUUAUAAAUUUAUAAUAUUGUAUUCAUGUAUUUUCAAUUAUUUAUUGAUAUUUGAUACCAAUCACUUUUCAAAUUCAUGUAUGUGCAUUGUGUAAAUUGAGUAUUGAGUCUAUUGACUCAUUUUUAGAUACUUUAUGUCUUUAAUUAAUUGAUUCUUCAUUUUAAUUA